AAACCAACAGGGAUUGCCCUAGUAACGGCGAGUGAAGCGGCAACAGCUCAAAUUUGAAAUCUGGCCCUCGGGUCCGAGUUGUAAUUUGUAGAGGAUGCUUUUGGCGCGGUGCCUUCCGAGUUCCCUGGAACGGGACGCCUUAGAGGGUGAGAGCCCCGUAUGGUUGGACACCAAGCCUCUGUAUAGCUCCUUCGACGAGUCGAGUAGUUUGGGAAUGCUGCUCUAAAUGGGAGGUAAAUUUCUUCUAAAGCUAAAUAUUGGCCAGAGACCGAUAGCGCACAAGUAGAGUGAUCGAAAGAUGAAAAGCACUUUGAAAAGAGGGUUAAAUAGCACGUGAAAUUGUUGAAAGGGAAGCGUUUGCGACUAGACCUUUUCCUAGCGGAUCAGCCGGUGUUUUCACCGGUGCACUUCGCUAGGUUUAGGCCAGCAUCGGUUUCCGUAGGGGGAUAAAAGCUCUGGGAAUGUGGCUCCUCCGGGAGUGUUAUAGCCCUCUGUAUAAUACCCUUACGGGGACCGAGGACCGCGCUUCGGCAAGGAUGCUGGCGUAAUGGUCGUCAACGAC
rnacentral:rRNA from 1 species